rnacentral:tRNA from 1 species
GAGGCUUAGCUCAGCUGGUUAGAGUGCUUGCUUGACAUGCAAGAGGUCACUGGUUCGAUUCCAGCAGUCUCC